rnacentral:rRNA from 1 species
GACGAACGCUGGCGGCGUGCCUAAUACAUGCAAGUCGAACGAACUCUGGUAUUGAUUGGUGCUUGCAUCAUGAUUUACAUUUGAGUGAGUGGCGAACUGGUGAGUAACGCGUGGGAAACCUGCCCAGAAGCGGGGGAUAACACCUGGAAACAGAUGCUAAUACCGCAUAACAACUUGGACCGCAUGGUCCGAGUUUGAAAGAUGGCUUCGGCUAUCACUUUUGGAUGGUCCCGCGGCGUAUUAGCUAGAUGGUGGGGUAACGGCUCACCAUGGCAAUGAUACGUAGCCGACCUGAGAGGGUAAUCGGCCACAUUGGGACUGAGACACGGCCCAAACUCCUACGGGAGGCAGCAGUAGGGAAUCUUCCACAAUGGACGAAAGUCUGAUGGAGCAACGCCGCGUGAGUGAAGAAGGGUUUCGGCUCGUAAAACUCUGUUGUUAAAGAAGAACAUAUCUGAGAGUAACUGUUCAGGUAUUGACGGUAUUUAACCAGAAAGCCACGGCUAACUACGUGCCAGCAGCCGCGGUAAUACGUAGGUGGCAAGCGUUGUCCGGAUUUAUUGGGCGUAAAGCGAGCGCAGGCGGUUUUUUAAGUCUGAUGUGAAAGCCUUCGGCUCAACCGAAGAAGUGCAUCGGAAACUGGGAAACUUGAGUGCAGAAGAGGACAGUGGAACUCCAUGUGUAGCGGUGAAAUGCGUAGAUAUAUGGAAGAACACCAGUGGCGAAGGCGGCUGUCUGGUCUGUAACUGACGCUGAGGCUCGAAAGUAUGGGUAGCAAACAGGAUUAGAUACCCUGGUAGUCCAUACCGUAAACGAUGAAUGCUAAGUGUUGGAGGGUUUCCGCCCUUCAGUGCUGCAGCUAACGCAUUAAGCAUUCCGCCUGGGGAGUACGUCCGCAAGGCUGAAACUCAAAGGAAUUGACGGGGGCCCGCACAAGCGGUGGAGCAUGUGGUUUAAUUCGAAGCUACGCGAAGAACCUUACCAGGUCUUGACAUACUAUGCAAAUCUAAGAGAUUAGACGUUCCCUUCGGGGACAUGGAUACAGGUGGUGCAUGGUUGUCGUCAGCUCGUGUCGUGAGAUGUUGGGUUAAGUCCCGCAACGAGCGCAACCCUUAUUAUCAGUUGCCAGCAUUAAGUUGGGCACUCUGGUGAGACUGCCGGUGACAAACCGGAGGAAGGUGGGGAUGACGUCAAAUCAUCAUGCCCCUUAUGACCUGGGCUACACACGUGCUACAAUGGAUGGUACAACGAGUUGCGAACUCGCGAGAGUAAGCUAAUCUCUUAAAGCCAUUCUCAGUUCGGAUUGUAGGCUGCAACUCGCCUACAUGAAGUCGGAAUCGCUAGUAAUCGCGGAUCAGCAUGCCGCGGUGAAUACGUUCCCGGGCCUUGUACACACCGCCCGUCACACCAUGAGAGUUUGUAACACCCAAAGUCGGUGGGGUAACCUUUUAGGAACCAGCCGCCUAAGGUGGGACAGAUGAUUAGGGUGAAG